rnacentral:lncRNA from 1 species
GUUCGCCUCACAUCCCAUGUACAGUGUAAAAUUCGUUGGAAGUAGAUCAACCGACAGGACUUGGUAUUACCAGCAUGACCAAUGUAAAUAUUAGUUUAAGUAGUGUAGGAGUUAAUUUGGUGAUGGUGGGAUUUGGACCAUAGGUCAACUUUUAAUGGUCAUGUGUUGUUAUCCCAAUUUGGGAGUAUUGCCUUCUUUGUAUAUUUUGUCCUUCCUUGUCGGGUUGAUGUCUUUAAAGGGGAAAUAAUCUGUGUAGCAGUAGUUAAUUGGAAAUUUAGGGCGGUAUUAAUGAAUUUGUCUUGAGGACAGUAGUUGAUUGAAAAUUUUGUGUUUUUUAACUGGUAGUAUUUAGUAUUUUUUUUGGCUAAGAAAGUCAGAGUAGGAUAAUUUUUUAUUUUUUUUUUUAAGCUGUUAAGUUGUAGGUUUACCCAUUGUUCCCAUAUUGUGGAAAGGUUACGAAUCUAUUAAGUUUUGCUGUUUAGUUCCUUCAUUUUUUAGGGAAGUUAAAUGAUUUUUGAAUCCAUAUCCUAGAUUCAGGGGGGGGGUUAUUUUUUAAAGAUAUCUUGUGUCAUGCUUGAGUUAGUAAAAGACGUUGCCAGUCUUAUCCAGGGGAGUUAUAAGUUCUCUAGUGUCCCUUGUCGGAACUAAAGUUCCUCCUUUUUAAGAUGGAGGGGGGUGUUGUGUAAUUGCCCAGUAGUUCUAGGGGGUUUCCUCUGUCUGGUGUGAUCUACUGGUAAAGAGCAGAG